UACGUAGGGUGCAAGCGUUAAUCGGAAUUACUGGGCGUAAAGCGUGCGCAGGCGGUUUUGUAAGCCUGUCGUGAAAUCCCCGGGCUUAACCUGGGAAUGGCGAUGGUGACUGCAAGGCUAGAGUUUGGCAGAGGGGGGUAGAAUUCCACGUGUAGCAGUGAAAUGCGUAGAGAUGUGGAGGAACACCGAUGGAGAAGGCAGCCCCCUGGGUCAAAACUGACGCUCAUGCACGAAAGCGUGGGGAGCAAACAGG
rnacentral:rRNA from 1 species